UUUCCGGUUGAUCCUGCCGGACCCCACUGCUAUCGGGAUAGGACUAAGACAUGCUAGUCGUGCGCUCCCAGCCAACACGGAGUGCGCGGCAUACAGCUCAGUAACACGUGGCUAAUCUGCCCUUGGGAUAGGAACACCCCCGGGAAACUGGGGCUAAUUCCCAAUAGGUGAAGAACUCUGGAAUGAGUCUUCACCAGAAAGGACGUUUGCGUUAUGCUCGUAGGCGUCGCCCAAGGAUGAGGCCGCGACCGAUCAGGUUGUUGGUGAGGUAAUGGCUCACCAAGCCUUUUACCGGUGCGGGCCGUGAGAGCGGGAGCCCGGAGAUGGGCACUGAGACAAGGGCCCAGGCCCUACGGGGCGCAGCAGUCGCGAAAACUUUGCAAUACACGAAAGUGUGACAGGGCUAUCCCGAAUGCCAUCCGCUGAGGCAGGCUUUUACCCCAGUAUAGAUCGCUGGGGGAAUAAGGAGAGGGCAAGUCUGGUGUCAGCCGCCGCGGUAAUAACAGCUCUCCGAGUGGUGUGGAUGUUAUGGGCCUAAAGGCUCCUAACUGCUAAGUAGAUCCUUGUUAAUUCCCCGACUAAUCGUAGAAAGCGGGGGAACUGA
rnacentral:rRNA from 1 species